AGUGAACGCUGGCGGUAGGCCUAACACAUGCAAGUCGAACGGCAGCACAGUAAGAGCUUGCUCUUACGGGUGGCGAGUGGCGGACGUGUGAGGAAUACAUCGGAAUCUACUUUUUCGUGGGGGAUAACGUAGGGAAACUUACGCUAAUACCGCUUACGACCUACGGGUGAAAGCAGGGGAUCUUCGGACCUUGCGCGAUUGAAUGAGCCGAUGUCGGAUUAGCUAGUUGGCGGGGUAAAGGCCCACCAAGGCGACGAUCCGUAGCUGGUCUGAGAGGAUGAUCAGCAAAACUGGAACUGAGACACGGUCCAGACUCCUACGGGAGGCAGCAGUGGGGAAUAUUGGACAAUGGGCGCAAGCAUGAUCCAGCCAUACCGCGUGGGUGAAGAAGGCCUUCGGGUUGUAAAGCCCUUUUGUUGGGAAAGAAAAGCAGCAGGUUAAUACCACGCUGUUCUGACGGUACCCAAAGAAUAAGCACCGGCUAACUUCGUG
rnacentral:rRNA from 1 species